AUAUUGCCAUCUGAUCACAAAGGGGGUCUAACCCUAGAACUGUUUGAAAUCUCACUGCUUACCUGUUAAACUGGGCUCAAAAAGGUGAGAUGAUAAAGUCUGCUAUAAGUUAGUCCAAAUGUUGUGAAGGCUUUUAUAUGUUGUACUGUUAUAUCUUAAAGGAGGAGCUUGCAUAUAUGGCAAGAAUGGCCUUUUGUAUGUAACAUGUAUCGAGUAGUUUUACAACACUGAUGGAUAUGCUGAUGUCAUAUUUUCAUCCAUGAUGUCAUGCUUCAUUGGUGAUGUCAUAUUUUCAUGCAGUAUUACUGCUUUGUCAUAAUUCUACAUUGUUAUGUUUUAUAUGUAAUCAAAAUGGUUGUAUAAUAACCAUUUAAAUAUAGGUUUAUGCAUUGCCAAUACUCUAUUGUUCUUUAUCUAAGUGUAUGUUAUGUAGUCAACAUGUUGUUGCUAAUUUGACAUUCAAUCUGGUAUGGCAUGUUUUUAACAAUUUUGUUGACUAGAGUCGCAACCCUGAGUUAAGACCAGUAACAUAGAGUGUAUUCAAAAUAGGGGACUAACUAGGCGAAGGGUCAAAUAUGGCGACCCACUACAAAGUUCGCCAUCUAAUUCCCUAAUAGGCACUAAAUAGAUAUCCCGUGGGGAAGUAUUCAAGUGGGUCAGCCAUUUUUGACCCCAGGACUAAUUAGUCCCCUAUUCUGAAUAGGGCCAUAGGGUGCGUUCAGAACAGAUGAUCCACAGACAUACUGAACUACGUACUAAAUAUGGCUGUCCCGCCAAAAAAAAGUCGAUUUAUCCAAUGAUGGUCUCCCCGCCUGCGGAUAUGCCAUUAAACAGAUCAAAUCAGGGCUCAGAGGUUUAAUUGCUAGGCCCCUGCAAGGACGGCGUCUGUGGAGGCGGGGGGACCAUCAGUGGAUUAGUUGGCUCUGCUGUAAUGUUGGUCAGCCAUAUUUGAUCCGUGUAUCUGGUAGUCUGCAGAUUGUCUUGUUCUGAGUGCCUUCCUAAUGAAAUACCUUGCUGAGGCCUUCUUUAUUGGUCAAGUUAUUUAUUUGAAUUUUUAUUUGACUUUGAAGGCUAGUUAACUGCAUGGGAAUUAGUUAUAAAAGAAGAAAAACUGAAGUUAAAAAAAAUGUGCAGCAUCAUGUUUAAAAUGGCAGUGUGGUUGGGCUGUUUACUCCUGAUCAUUUUCCCAGCUUAUGUAGUGAAACCAUGAUAACAGUUGCAACAAAUAAACUGAGAAAAUUGGUGCUACCAAAAGUGAGCCACACAAAGCUUCAGUACUUUUAUGCCAAUCGUGUGUGAACAAUUGUUUGAAAAAAUUAAUUUUGUUGAGUGAACUAGUGUCUGCCAAUAAAGGCUACAGUAACCCCUAUGAAGUAUGUAUUAUUCACAUUGCCAACUAUGAACUUUAUUUCAAACUUCAGAUUUUCUUAUAUUGAUUGUAUGAAUUUUUUCUUAGAUGAAGUUCUGUUUGUAUAUUUAUGUAUUUGUUCUUUAAGGCUGAGAAUGCAGAUUUGUGGUUACUGGAUUUUUUUCUUUUGGAACACAGUUGAGAGAAAUAUCAUUGCUUCCGCCAUUAGUCAACAAUAAGGCUAGAUUUGAAAAUCAAUUAGUUUGAAUGGAUUGUUAUGUAGUGAGUGGAACAUAUUAAGGGGAAUGUUAUAUUUAUGCUGAAAUACCCUUUCAAUAUACUUAUGUUGUAUUUUAAAGAAAUGGGCAGGUUCAAAACUAAGAAUGUAUGAGUUGUUGUUCUCCAUUCUGUAUUUUAGAGUAUCCUUUACAUUUGUUACCAAUGCUACAUGUAUCAUUUCUUUUGACUGGUGAUUUCAAAGUCACUGUAUUCUAUAUACUUCUUAGUGUAAGAGUGACAAAUUUGGUAUGUGACAGCAAGUGAUGGCUGAAAAUAGAGCAGAACAAAAGAGAGGAGAGGAAAGUUUAAGUUUUGUAGAGGAUUGGUCGAAAAAUUUUCAAAAUGAUCAUGAACCAUAGGGUCUGGGUUGUUUUUUUUUUUUUUUUUUUUUUAAAUCCCAGGCCAUAAAUUUUGCAAUUUUACUCUGCAGAGGGUCUGGACUGAGACCUGAGAUUUUUACUGCUAAUUUGUGAAAAUUAUUUUCAUUCACUGCUCUCUGUUCACUUGCUCCUGCACUACUCCAUAUGCCAACACAGUUAUCAUUUUAGUUGUAAUAUUUAUUAUGUAUUCUGUAAAUAUAUAUCUACAAUUUGUAAACUUGGUGUACGACACCACUGUACAUAGUUAUAAGUAUACAUAUAUAAAUAUAUAUAGAAUCAUGCCAUA
rnacentral:lncRNA from 1 species